rnacentral:rRNA from 1 species
CUACCACAUCCAAGGAAGGCAGCAGGCGCGCAAAUUACCCACUCCCAGAACGGGGAGGUAGUGACGAAAAAUAACAAUACGGGACUCUUUUGAGACCCCGUAAUUGGAAUGAGUACACUCUAAAUCCUUUAACGAGGAUCCAUUGGAGAGCAAGUCUGGUGCCAGCAGUCGCGGUAAUUCCAGCUCCAAUAGCGUAUAUUAAAGUUGUUGCGGUUAAAAAGCUCGUAGUUGGAUCUCAGCUCCGGCCGGACGGUCCGCCUACCGGUGGUUACUGUUCGUCGCCGAGCGUUCAGGCGGUUAUUCUUGAUGAUCUUCACCGGUUGUCUCGGGUGACCGCCAAGUUUACUUUGAAAAAAUUAGAGUGCUCAAAGCAGGCGCGACGCCUGAAUAAUUGUGCAUGGAAUAAUGGAAUAGGACCUCGGUUCUAUUUUGUUGGUUUUCGGAACACGAGGUAAUGAUUAAGAGGGACAGACGGGGGCAUUCGUAUUGCGACGCUAGAGGUGAAAUUCUUGGACCGUCGCAAGACGAACUACUGCGAAAGCAUUUGCCAAGAAUGUUUCCAUUAAUCAAGAACGAAAGUUAGAGGUUCGAAGGCGAUCAGAUACCGCCCUAGUUCUAACCAUAAACGAUGUCAGCCAGCAAUCCGCCUGUGUUCCUCAAAUGACACGGCGGGCGGCUUCCGGGAAACCAAAGCUUUUGGGUUCCGGGGGAAGUAUGGUU